CACAGCGCCGUACUACCAGUGGGUCUGAGGUACUUCAGUCGCACGUAGCGUACCCAGGCUGGACACGGGGGUGUGUGAGGGCUUAGUAAUGACCAUGAAGUCAUUAUCAUCCUGGUGAAGACUCAAGCUUUGUCAAAUGCCAUCGUCAAGGAUGAGAUAACACGCGCUGAAGAAGAGAUGUGCGGAAUACCGCAGUAGAGGCAGUGAGAAGGAAGUGUGUCUGGAAGGGAGAUAACUGCAGAAGAGCUCUACAGCAGGGACAAUAACAUCACUGGAUUUGGGAAACUCUGCAGGGAUAAUGAAAACCUUCUUUAAACACAGUGGUCACAGGGUAUGGGUUACCACAUUCCUCACCCUCUGCAGCAGGAGAGGUUUGGUUCUGCUUCAUGGCAAAGGGGAAGCCUGUCUGUCUUUGGAGCUCUUGGACUCAACCAGCCAGCAUGGGAAGAUCCACAGCUUGCUCCCACCAAUGGGUACUGCUCCCCUUGACCUAAAACUGGCACUUGGUUACAAGGGGACCUGAAUGGAUGGAGGAGCGUGGGUGGAGGUUAACAUUUUCCCCUUGCAUGCCCCAUCAUGAAAAAAGAUCCGCUAUCUAGAAAGCAGACAGCUUUGCACUGAGGACUGUAAUAAAAUUGAG
ensembl:lncRNA